GUGACAGCAGCCGCGGUAAAACGUAGGACGCAAGCGUUAUCCGGAGUUACUGGGCGUAAAGGGCGUGUAGGCGGGCCGGCAAGUGACCCGUGAAAGGCUCCGGCUCAACCGGGGGCGGUCGGGUGAGACUGCCGGUCUGGAGGGCGCUAGAGGGACACGGAAUUCCGGGUGUAGUGUUGAAAUGCGUAGAGAUCCGGAGGAACACCAGUGGCGCAGGCGGUGUCCUGGGGCGCACCUGACGCUGAGACGCGACAGCAUGGGGAGCGAACGGGAUUAGAUACCCUAGUAGUCC
rnacentral:rRNA from 1 species